rnacentral:rRNA from 1 species
GGUGCAGACGGCUUUUUUAAGUCGGUUGUGAAAUCUCCCGACUUAAUUGGGAGAAGUCAUUCGAUACUAUUAAGCUAGAGGACGGUAUAGGAAAGCGGAACUCCCGGUGUAGCGGUGAUAUGCGUAGAUAUCGGGAGGAACACCAGUGGCGAAGGCGGCUUUCUGGGCCGUUCCUGACGUUAAGACCCAAAAGCGUGGGGAGCAAAACGGAUUAGAUACCCGUGUAGUCCACGCCCUAAACAUUGGACACUAGGUAUAGGGGGUAUCGACCCUCUCUGUGCCGAAGCUAACGCUUUAAGUGUCCCGCCUGGGGACUACGGCCGCAAGGUUAAA